AUGACGGCCUUCGGGUUGUAAAACUCUGUCUUUGGGGACGAUAAUGACGGUACCCAAGGAGGAAGCCACGGCUAACUACGUGCCAGCAGCCGCUGGUAAUACGUAGGUGGCAAGCGUUGUCCCGGAUUUACUGGGCGUAAAGGGAGCGUAGGUGGAUAUUUAAGUGGGAUGUGAAAUACUCGGGCUUAACCUGGGUGCUGCAUUCCAAACUGGAUAUCUAGAGUGCAGGAGAGGAAAGGAGAAUUCCUAGUGUAGCGGUGAAAUGCCGUAGAGAUUAGGAAGAAUACCAGUGGCGAAGGCGCCUUUCUGGACUGUAACUGACACUGAGGCUCGAAAGCGGUGGGGAGCAAACAGGAUUAGAUACCCUGGUAAGUCCACGCCGUAAACCGAUGAAUACUAGGUGUAGGGGUUGUCAUGACCUNUGUGCCGCCGNUAACGCAUUAAGUAUUCCGCCUGGGGAG
rnacentral:rRNA from 1 species